GGACAAGAGGAUUGGAACCUAGAUUACCAAAGGACACCAGAACAUUGAGAGAAAAGAAAUAGCAAGAGCUAUCUGGAGCAAGCAAGAACUUGUCCUCUGGGAUCUCUUACAGUUUGGGAACAGAGAUCAUGUUACAUUUGGUGGACCCUACAUCAGGAGACUUGCCAGUUAGAGACAUAGAUGCAAUACCUCUGGUGCUACCCACCUCAAAAGGUAAGAAUAUGAAAACUCAACCACCCUUCAGCAGGAUGAACCGGGAGGAACUGGAGCACAGUUUAUUUCGACUUCGCGAAGAUCACAUGUUGGUGAAGGAGCUUUCUUGGAAGCAACAGGAUGAGAUC